rnacentral:rRNA from 1 species
ACGUAGGGGGCGAGCGUUGUCCGGAAUUACUGGGCGUAAAGGGUACGCAGGCGGCCAUGUAAGUCAGAUGUGAAAGGUCACGGCUCAACCGUGGUAAGCAUUUGAAACUGUGUGGCUUGAGUUAAGGAGAGGAAAGUGGAAUUCCUGGUGUGGCGGUGAAAUGCGUAGAUAUCAGGAGGAAUACCAGUGGCGAAGGCGACUUUCUGGACUUAAACUGACGCUGAGGUACGAAAGCGUGGGGAGCAAACAGGA